UACCAGCACCCCGAGUGGUCGGGACGAUUAUUGGGCCUAAAGCAUCCGUAGCCGGUCAUGCAAGUCCUCCGUUAAAUCCACCUGCUUAACAGAUGGGCUGCGGAGGAUACUAUGGAGCUAGGAGGCGGGAGAGGCAAGCGGUACUUAGUGGGUAGGGGUAAAAUCCGUUGAUCCAUUGAAGACCACCAGUGGCGAAGGCGGCUUGCCAGAACGCACUCGACGGUGAGGGAUGAAAGCUGGGGGAGCAAACCGG
rnacentral:rRNA from 1 species